UACGAAGGGGGCUAGCGUUGUUCGGAAUUACUGGGCGUAAAGGGCGCGUAGGCGGCCUUGUAAGUCCUGUGUGAAAUCCCCCGGCUCAACUGGGGAACUGCACAGGAGACUGCUUGGCUUGAGUUCGGGAGAGGGAAGCGGAAUUCCGGGUGUAGCGGUGAAAUGCGUAGAUAUCCGGAGGAACACCAGUGGCGAAGGCGGCUCACUGGCCCGAUACUGACGCUGAGGCACGAAAGCGUGGGGAGCAAACAGG
rnacentral:rRNA from 1 species